CAGAAAACAAUCGAUAUUUUGAUCCGAAAUCUGAUUAAUAUUCAUUAGAAAAGUAUUUGAAGGUUAAUUAUUGAAGGUAAAUUAGCAUACAAUAGCGUGACCGGUAAUAAAUCCAAGUUUACGCAAAUAUAGAUUCGUAAAUAUGCAUAUUCUAUAUUAAAAUGUAUGUAUUUGGGAUGUAUAAAUUUUCGUGCGAAUUAUUUGUGCUGCGCGCGCAUCGUACUGCGCAGUAGGAAUCUGAGUGAAACAGAAAAUGAAUGCAGCAUCGUGUGCACUGUUGUAUUUUGGAAUAAAAUUGACAAUUAAAAUAUCAUGUAUUUGUCGAAUGAAAAAGAGGCAGAAGCAUUUCGUAAAAAUGAGCAGAAAAAAUGAAGAGGGGAAUGAAAAUUCGAGACAAUUUCCAAAAGUGUGAAAUAGAGUUCCUUUCUUGGAAUUCGCGAAACAAUGAGAUUCUUUGAUACGUUCGAGAAGGCAUUUGAUUUUUGCAAAUAAAGUUUGGCAGACAUGGAAUUGAUCAAUGGUCUUCCUUUGACUUAACAACAUUCAAACAACUGCCUCACUCUGUUAAUUCAACUGCAUAUCUUCAAGCAUUUUGAUGAUAUGAGAUCCAUAUAAGUGUAUUAAGCAUAGUAUCAUUUCGAAGUACUUUCGUAUGACUAUAAAAAUAUAAUUGACACUAUGAAAUGUAGAAGUAAUAUGCAAAUAUUUUUUGUUCGCCUGAUGUUGAACAAUUGGAAUCUGCUCUCCAAAUUCUGAGAUUUAAUUUGAAUGAACAUUAAUUUGGUGUACACCCUCGUCGUACAUCUGCUCGACAUCUUCGGUGAAUGAAUCUAGGAAGGAAUGAAUGACUAACUAUUCUGCCUAAAGGUAUUAACAUGUCGUUAAUUCGUGUCUAUAAUAUAAUGUAUAUAGUUAUCGGGACUCAUUCGUAGAAAACUGGUUUGUGAAUAUUUAUCGAACACGUUUGACCACUAGAGACAUUAAUCUCUGGGAAUUUAAACUUGAUCAUUAUUUAAAGAAAUUUAUAUGUAUCUGGGUUGUUUAUAAAAAUUCCUUUUUAGGUUAUCGUGUUAUUUAUUAUCACAUAAAUUAUUCGUACAGAUACUUGGAAUUUGGAAUUGGAAUUUAUAGAUUUGUCUUCUUUCAUCCUGAUUAUUGUUUAUCAUGCUUUAAGUUUCUCUGAAACGAUAUCAGUUUUAUUAAAGAAAUAUAUUAUCAUAUGUACAUGUGUAGAAAGUGGUAUAUAUAGUUGCUGUUUUUUAUUUUAUUGAAGAUUAAAAUAGAAUGCCAGUAUUAAGUAAUAUUAACAUUUAUGUUGGAAAUUCUUAUGAAUAUUUUAGACUUUAAUGUAUUCCGAUUAAUUUUCGGAGAAAAUAGUGACACCGUUUAAUUUUUCUAAAGAACUGUACGUUUUCAGAUUGAUUUACAAUCUUGUUUAGAGACUAAGUGUAGAAAGUCUUGGGUAGAUAUAAGUUCUUUCCCAAGGAAAUAAACGGUAGUAGCUCGUUCGGAAACGUCAUUGAAGUCCUCAUUCCUUGACAACCUUGUCAUCGUUUACAACGUUCCAAUCAUCCUCGCAGUCUUAAGGUACAUUUCACAGUGUUUCUAUUGUUACUUUCUAUUCUUUUCAUAGCGUAAUAAAUAGAAUUAAUUUUUUAUUCAUAUUUGUUGGAAGAACAAUUCUUUUAUCUUUUAAUACAUAGAUAAUAAUAUAUAUUUUCCUAAUUUAACAUUUUCAAUGUUUUUCUUUUCAAAAUUAAUAAUUUCUCACAAUCCAAACCAUUUAUCAUUAUUAUAAAUUUUUAACAUGUUAACAAAAGUAGAAAGGAAACUAAUUUCAAAAUUUGAACAUACAGUUCAAUUCAUAU